rnacentral:lncRNA from 1 species
AAAAAGAACGUUGGUAGACUAUAUUGUCCAAUCUAUAUUUAUUAUAAUAAUAUAGACAUAGAAUGGAGAAAUUUUGCACCAUAAGUGAGUCAACUCGACGACUCUAGAGUCCGUCUGGAAGAGCUACAUUUAUCCAUUACGCCGUGUCCAAGGUGCAUGGAAAAUUUUGCAAAUGGUACAGCUAAUUGAAGAUCUUGUACUUUCUUUAAGAUAAGAUUGACUUUUGCUUUCACAAGUAUCGAAAGCUUUUUCUUUUCUUCCUCUUGCUCUUUUGCUUUAUUUGAUGAUUUUGAAAUAUUCAUUCAAUACUUAGAUUUUGCAGAAAAUCAAAGUGAACCUUCCCCUAAUCAACUUGUCCAAGAACUACUUGCGCUUUUGUACCAAUCUCUGCACCAUCCUGUAAAGAAAUUUAGAAGUGAAAUUUCUGUCUCGUUCAAGAAACUAAAGAUAAGUAACAAUAAAACAAAGAAAAACAAACACAACUUUUCAAACCUUUUGAAUGCCCAGUACGAUGAACUAUCUUUAAGCCCCUCCCCAGUGAAUACCACCUCAUCAAUUCUUAUCCUCUGAAAUGCUUUUAACUGUCUUCGGCUGCUAUAUGAAUAUUUCGAUAGAUGGUUACAUCAUACUGCGGACAGAACUCUUAAAACACAGAAUCAAACCGAAAGAUAAUUGUCCACGUAUAUAAGAUCAACCAACAAUUCAGGAAAACCAUUUCUAAAUCUAAAUCUAUCCUACUUGAAUUUUAAUUUGAAUUGGAACAUAAAAAUAUUUAUGAGCUCAAAUUUGAUUACACACUUGCAGACACAAAACAUAUUACUAUCACAUGAAAUAUUUGUGAGCUCAACUAGUUUUGUAUACUAAAUUGAUCUGAUGAUACACUGUCUUGAGAUUAUUUUUGUUAGGUUUUUGCUUUUAAUUUCUAAUGAAUUGCUAAUAUUCCAAGACACAUUGCUGGUUCAUUUGCUUGGUCAAAGAUGAUUGAGAGCCAUCGGAGGUAGGAUAAUUUGGAGUUUUGGACUUGCAUACAGUGAGAGAAUUCGUCCAGCGAAAUGGAGAUGUCCAUUCUCAAAUCUCAAUGGCUAGUUUUGCAAAUUAAUUCCGUACCAGAUGAACGGAAAAAAGAAUAGGAAGUUCCAGAAAAUGAGAACAGAAACUGAAACUAAGCUUAAUGCUGUAAUAAGGGUAUGACCAGAAUCAUCAUUAAUACAUGCAACACAAAGAGCAAAUCAGUUUAUGAAAUUAAACCUACCUUGCAUCUUCCUGAUGCUGAUUGCUGUUACGAGUCCAAGAAAAAUGAGAACAGAACUGAAAAUUGGCAUAACUAAUGCUCAAAUAAAUUACAAAAUGCGCUGUCAAAUGUGGAUAAAACACAUAAACUGCGGGCAAAGGCAUUUUUUUUUGGCAUUGUCUUGCAGAAAGCAGCCGGCCUGGGCAAAUCAUCCAUCUGACUCCGAGAGAUCUACAUCAAUAUAUAUUAUGUCAAAGGAGUUGUUAUACACUUAUAAAAUCUAAAGAAGAACAUACUGUAUAUAAUUAAUAGCAUUAAAACCUUGUUUAUGGAUUGAUUUCCUAGAGAACAACUUAAUUACUGCUUCGUACUGCGCAAAAGAAAAAUAUAUUCAUUUACAUCUCUUGGUCCAAGAUGCAGCUGGUUAAUUAGCACUUUACGCGGUGUCACAGAAGCCGCUUCAAAAAUGGAAGCUCG